rnacentral:rRNA from 1 species
AGAGUUUGAUUAUGGCUCAGGAUGAACGCUAGCUACAGGCUUAACACAUGCAAGUCGAGGGGCAUCAUGACGAUAGCUUGCUAUGUGAUGGCGACCGGCGCACGGGUGAGUAACGCGUAUCCAACUUCCCUUAGUAGGGCAUAGCCCGGCGAAAGUCGGAUUAAUACCCUAUGUUAUUCGUAGAGGACAUCUGAAAUGAAUCAAAGAUUAAUCGCUAAGGGAUGGGGAUGCGUCCGAUUAGGUAGUCGGCGGGGUAACGGCCCACCGAGCCUUCGAUCGGUAGGGGUUCUGAGAGGAAGGUCCCCCACACUGGUACUGGGACACGGACCAGACUCCUACGGGAGGCAGCAGUGAGGAAUAUUGGUCAAUGGACGGGAGUCUGAACCAGCCAAGUAGCGUGAAGGAUGACGGCCCUAUGGGUUGUAAACUUCUUUUGUCGGGGAAUAACAAGCGCCACGUGUGGCGCCCUGCAUGUACCCGGUGAAUAAGGACCGGCUAAUUCCGUGCCAGCCGCAGC